CCAGCAGUGCAUUGACGAGUAUAAAAAACAUAGCAUCAGACACAAGACAAGAUAUAGUUUAUGAAAUAGUUCAGGCAAUCUACAGGAUAAAUAAAGCGGGAGGUGUGGUAACAUUUCUCUGGGUUCCUGCUCAUGUAGGAGUUGAGGGAAAUGAGUUAGCUGAUAGAUACGCAAAACAAGAAACCACUAAAACAGAAGUAAAUAUGGAGAUUAAGCACAGUAAAGAAGAAGUGAAGAGCAUAAUUAAGAUAGAACACAAUAAAAAGUGGCAGAAUAAUUGGAAUAAGGAAAUAAAAGGUAGAGAGUUUUACAAAGUCCAGAGGAGAGUAGGUGUCAUGAGAGGAGGGGGUAGAAAUAGGAAAGAAGAAGACAUUAUUACUAGAAUGAGAUUAGGACAUACAUAUCUAAAUAGUUCACUAAAAUUGAUAGGAAAACAUACUACAGGGCUGUGUGAUUUUUGCCAUCAAAUAGAGAAUGUUGACCAUGUUUUAAUACAAUGUAGGAAAUACAAUAGAGAAAGAGAAAUACUGGAAAAUAAGUUAGCAAAAGAAAAUAUUAGGUUAGAAGUGGGAAGUAUAUUAGGAUUGCAUUCAGAAAACAUAGGAUACAAAGCAAUAUACACAUAUUUAAAAAACACUGGGUUAAAUAAAAGAAUAUAGAGUAGGGAUCCACCUCGGUCCACACUCCAUUACAGUAGGUGGCGGUAAUGCACACCAGAAGGUUGCUUGCCAACCGCCAUAAAAACAAAAGAAGAAGAAGAAGAAGCAGUGGGGCGACGGACACAUUGACCGAGACAAGCGGCAACAAAGAUGGACAUUCACAACACGUGUGUUAUGACGGCUCUUGGUCAAAGUCAAACAUUUAAUUGACCGGCGAUGACGGCGCAGUCGGGAAGCUCUUCCGACCGUAAAGCGAACUAAAGCCCAAGGGUGACGUCACCACCACCGAGCCGACCUCCCCGCCGCGGCGGACCACCGUCUUCCUCCCGGACAUGAUCGCCUCCACGCUGAACGGAUGCCGAUGCCGCUCCGCCACCGGAGAGGAACCUCUCUCCUCCUCGGAGGAACUGGAGCACACAUCCUUCGUAGUCUCCACGGAAGACAUCGCCAAAGGCUGGUAAAACUCCAGGGGGAGGAAACAAAAAGCGUGGAGUAGCACAGACCCCCGCCUGCCAUUAUACAAGUUUUUAUUCCAGAAAUACGGAUGAAACGCUGCCAUUCCCGCUUCAUUGUGCCUUCAAAAGUUCCUGCCGCUGAAAAACAUCCUGACAGCAUGAUGCUGCCACCACCAUGCUUCACUGCUGGGAUGGUAUUGGCCUGGCAUGAGCAGUGCCUGGUUUCCUCCAAACAUGAUGCCUGGCAUUCCACCAAAGAGUUCAAGUUUUGUCUCAUCAGACCAGAAAAUUUUGUUUAUCAUAGUCUGACAGUCUUUCAGAGGAAUGCUGUAGCCCUGACAGAGUGACCAUCGGGUCCUGGGUCACCUCCCUGACUAGACUAAGAUGAAUGCAGCAACGUACAGAGACAUUUUUGGUGAAAAUCAACGCUUCCCUUUUUUUUUCUUUUUUUUGUUUUGUUUCUUUGUCAUGAAAAAGGGACGUUUUUGUCAUGAAAAAGGGAGGUUUUUGUGGUUGGUGCACUAAUUGUAAGUGUAUAUUGUGUUUUUUUAUGUUGAUUUAAUAAAAAAAUAACAUAAUAGCAUAUAAAUAUUUUAAAAUUUUUUAUAAAAAUGAAUACAAAAUUCUUCUGCGGCCCGGUACCAAUCGGGCCACGGUCCGGUGGUUGGGGACCA